rnacentral:rRNA from 1 species
CCUACGGGGUGCAGCAGUGGGGGAUAUUGCACAAUGGGGGGAACCCUGAACCAGCAACGCCGCGUGAGGGAAGACGGUUUUCGGAUUGUAAACCUCUGUCCUCUGUGAAGAUAAUGACGGUAGCAGAGGAGGAAGCUCCGGCUAACUACGUGCCAGCAGCCGCGGUAAUACGUAGGGAGCAAGCGUUGUCCGGAUUUACUGGGUGUAAAGGGUGCGUAGGCGGCCCUGCAAGUCAGAAGUGAAAUCCAUGGGCUUAACCCGUGAACUGCUUUUGAAACUGUAGGGCUUGAGUGAAGUAGAGGCAGGCGGAAUUCCCGGUGUAGCGGUGAAAUGCGUAGAGAUCGGGAGGAACACCAGUGGCGAAGGCGGCCUGCUGGACAUUAACUGACGCUGAGGCACGAAGGCCAGGGGAGCGAAAGGGAUUAGAUACCCGAGUAGUC